GACGAACGCUGGCGGCGUGCUUAACACAUGCAAGUCGAACGGUGAACGAGGGAGCUUGCUCCCUCCGGAUCAGUGGCGCACGGGUGAGUAACACGUGAGCAAUCUGCCCCGAACUCUGGGAUAAGCGUUGGAAACGAUGUCUAAUACCGGAUACGACGCGGGAGGGCAUCCUCUCCGCGUGGAAAGAACUUCGGUUCGGGAUGAGCUCGCGGCCUAUCAGCUUGUUGGUGAGGUAACGGCUCACCAAGGCGACGACGGGUAGCCGGCCUGAGAGGGUGACCGGCCACACUGGGACUGAGACACGGCCCAGACUCCUACGGGAGGCAGCAGUGGGGAAUAUUGCACAAUGGGCGCAAGCUUGAUGCAGCAACGCCGCGUGAGGGACGACGGCCUUCGGGUUGUAAACCUCUUUUAGCAGGGAAGAAGCGAAAGUGACGGUACCUGCAGAAAAAGCACCGGCUAACUACGUG
rnacentral:rRNA from 1 species